rnacentral:tRNA from 1 species
GUCUUCGUGGUGUAGUGGUCUGCAUGUUCGACGUGUAACCGAGAGGUCGUGGUUCGAUUCCCGCCGAAGGCG